rfam:Pseudomassariella vexata strain CBS 129021 BCR38scaffold_4, whole genome shotgun sequence.
GCCCUCAUAGCUCAGUGGUAGAGCGCGUCACUAGUAUCUCUUAGCUAUGACGAGGUCGUCAGUUCAAUUCUGGCUGAGGGCA